rnacentral:rRNA from 1 species
CGGGACGGGUGAGUAAUGUCUGGGAAACUGCCUGAUGGAGGGGGAUAACUACUGGAAACGGUAGCUAAUACCGCAUAACGUCGCAAGACCAAAGAGGGGGACCUUCGGGCCUCUUGCCAUCGGAUGUGCCCAGAUGGGAUUAGCUAGUAGGUGGGGUAACGGCUCACCUAGGCGACGAUCCCUAGCUGGUCUGAGAGGAUGCCAGCACACUGGAACUGAGACACGGUCCAG